GGCCCUGAAAGAGACUGGGACAUCGGCUCGACUGUCUAUCGAGCAAGGGCGGUUCGAUUCCGCUCAGGGCCGCCA
rnacentral:tRNA from 1 species